AGAGUUUGAUCCUGGCUCAGGAUGAACGCUAGCGGCAGGCCUAAUACAUGCAAGUCGAACGGUAAGUAUUUUAGCAAUAAGAUACGAGAGUGACGUACGGGUGAGUAACACGUAUGCAACCUACCCAAAACAGGAGGAUAGCUCAGGGAAACUUGGAUUAACCCUCCAUAAGAUCGUGUUCUGGCAUCGGGGUGCGAUAAAAACCUUCGGGUGGUUUUGGAUGGGCAUGCGUAUGAUUAGCUAGUUGGUAGUGUAACGGACUACCAAGGCGAUGAUCAUUAGGGGACCUGAGAGGGUGAUCCCCCACACUGGCACUGAGAUACGGGCCAGACUCCUACGGGAGGCAGCAGUAGGGAAUAUUGGUCAAUGGAUGGAAGUCUGAACCAGCCAUGCCGCGUGCAGGAAGACGGCCUUCUGGGUUGUAAACUGCUUUUACCAGGGGAUAAAAGGCCCAUGCGUGGGACAUUGAAGGUACCUGGUGAAUAAGCCACGGCUAACUACGUGCCAGCAGCCGCGGUAAUAC
rnacentral:rRNA from 1 species